rnacentral:rRNA from 1 species
AUUGAACGCUGGCGGCAUGCCUUACACAUGCAAGUCGAACGGCAGCACGGGUGCUUGCACCUGGUGGCGAGUGGCGAACGGGUGAGUAAUACAUCGGAACAUGUCCUGUAGUGGGGGAUAGCCCGGCGAAAGCCGGAUUAAUACCGCAUACGAUCUACGGAUGAAAGCGGGGGCCCUUCGGGCCUCGCGCUAUAGGGUUGGCCGAUGGCUGAUUAGCUAGUUGGUGGGGUAAAGGCCUACCAAGGCGACGAUCAGUAGCUGGUCUGAGAGGACGACCAGCCACACUGGGACUGAGACACGGCCCAGACUCCUACGGGAGGCAGCAGUGGGGAAUUUUGGACAAUGGGCGAAAGCCUGAUCCGGCAAUGCCGCGUGUGUGAAGAAGGCCUUCGGGUUGUAAAGCACUUUUGUCCGGAAAGAAAUCCUUGGCCCUAAUACGGUCGGGGGAUGACGGUACCGGAAGAAUAAGCACCGGCUAACUACGUG